AUAGUUAAUUUCUUGCUGAACUAUUUAAAAACCAAAAAGAAAUUAUAUAAAGAAAAAAGAAAAAAGAAAAGUAGGUAAAUGAGAAAUAAUAUCAAAAAAAGAAUAAUAAUAUCGGAGGCGACGACUUUUCUAGGUACUGCCACGUAUUGAAUCUAGAGUGAAUCUGGCACACGCCGUCCACACUCCUCUUUCUCAUUUCUUUCUUUCUUUUGCCUCUCUAUAGUUCUCGUCUCUACACAAAAGAAUUCUAAUAAUUGAUUAGCUCUCCCUGAAACAACAUAAAAAGAUCACAAAUUUCCUAUAGAAAUAAUUUGAUAAUUUCUAAUCCUUUCUCUCUCGCCGUCUCUCGCUAUAAAGGUCUUGUUUAUGUCUGCUCACUUCUGGGGAUUCUAGAUGUCGCUUAAUGCAAUUUCAGCUCUUACAUUCACAAGUCAUUACCAUGCUAUUCAAUCUGUUGAUUUCUUAGGGUUUGUAUUUUCCAACUUAAAGGUGAAGCCUUUUACAAAUGUGUCCUGUAGACUUAAUGGAAGGCAGCCCAGUUGCAUUAUUCAAUUAUUAGCUAUUAAAUCAAAGUCAACAACUUUGGCUUUUUCCAUUCCCGAUGAAAACGAUUGGGGCAGCUUUCGUGGUUGCACUGAUGAUCAUCAAAUGGAACUUCCUCUGGAAGAUGAUGAGACUUCCAGUGUUUCGGAGGAUGCCAGAGUUGUUUCUUCUGUUUCAGAAGCUAGCCUUGCUCAUACGGUUGAGCUUCUGGGGAGACAAGGAAGCUUACUUGAUAAAUUAAAGGCCAUUAAAUUGCAUAUCUUAGCUUCGGAGCAAUGGAAUGCUUCUAAACUUCAAUUGUGUCACAAAAAUUACUUGGCUAGUGCAAAUAACUUGAUUCAUUAUCUGGCAUUGAGAUGCCUUGAUGUCGAGCAGCUGAAGUAUGAUCUCUCUUUGAUUGGUCUUCUGAAUUUGGAGACUAUCAAUUCACAUGUCCUUGCAAGUCUUACUGCAAGUAUUCAAGUAUUGGAGAACUCAAACACUGAUCCUCGAAAACCUGAUGAAAACAUCGAUGGAGGCAUUUUCUCUCAUAAAAGAUUAAACCAACAAGAGUUUGCAGCCUUUACAAUACAAACAAUGAGGAAGAAGGUAUUCUCUAACAGAGAGUUGUUGUUGGGCCAACUGGAAGAUGGUAGAACUACUCAUAUCAUGGUAACGGUUGGGGAGGAAGCUAUUGAGAGUGAAGCGUUUAUUACUGAGCUCAUGAAGGCAGGGGCCUCAAUUAUUCGUAUCAACUGUGCACAUGGAAGUCCUAGUACUUGGAGUGAGAUAAUCAGAAGAGUAAGAGAGAGUUCUCAAAUGCUAGAAAAACCUUGUCGAGUUCUCAUGGAUUUAGCUGGACCAAAGCUCCGAACAGGAAAGCUGAAGCCUGGUCCAGCUGUGAUGAAAAUAUCCCCUAAAAAAUCUGCUGCUGGAAAUGUAAUCUUUCCUGCUCAAGUUUGGCUGUCACACAAAGAAGCAGGUCCUCCUCCUUCUCAUUUUUCUACCAAUGCAGUUUUAUUCUUAGAUGACCAAGAAUUUCUUACUAAGCUUGAGGUAGGUGACAGUUUAAGAUUUUCUGAUGCUAGAGGGAAAAAAAGGAGACUCAAGAUUUCUGGAAAGUUUCAUGUUUUUUCUGGAACUGGAUAUGUGGCGGAGUGUACUAGCACUGCUUAUGUUCAGUCAGGAACACAACUGUUUAUGAAGGGAAAGAAAAGCAGGUCUCCUGUUGGAGAGGUGGUUGAUGUCCCAGUGACUGAGCCAUUUGUCAGACUGAAAGUUGGGGACCUACUGAUUAUAUCACGAGGCAGUGCUUCUAAAGAAGAUGAACUAUCUGUAUCCACAAGUGGCACUCAUAGGCUUACUUGUUCCUCUGGGUACCUAUUUGAUUCAGUGAAACCUGGUGAGCCAAUUGCUUUUGAUGACGGGAAGAUUUGGGGAGUUAUCCAAGGAACAAGUAUAUCAGAGAUCACAGUUUCAAUCACUCAUGCCGGUCCUAAAGGCACGAAACUUGGAUCCGAAAAAUCCAUAAACAUCCCAGAGAGCACUGUUCAGUACGAGGGGCUUACUUCAAAGGAUCUUAUGGAUCUUGAGUUCAUAGCUGCUCAUGCUGACAUGUUAGGUAUUUCUUUUGUCCGAGAUGCUCAUGAUAUUACUAUGCUCCGCCAAGAAUUGGAGAGACGGAAACUUGAAAAUCUUGGGAUUGUAUUGAAGAUUGAGACAAAGAGUGGUUUUGAAACAUUGCCUUUAUUGCUGUUGGAGGCGAUGAAGUCUCCAAAUCCAUUGGGAGUCAUGAUUGCUAGAGGAGAUCUUGCGGUGGAGUGUGGGUGGGAAAGGCUGGCUGAUAUGCAGGAAGAAAUUAUCUCUCUUUGCGAUGCUGCACAUGUACCAGUCAUUUGGGCAACUCAGGUCUUGGAGUCGCUCGUAAAGUCUGGUGUCCCCACUCGAGCAGAAAUCACUGAUGCAGCCAAUGGAAGGAGGGUAAGCUGUAUAAUGCUGAAUAAAGGGAAACACAUUGCGGGAGCUGUUUCAACUUUAGACAAAAUCCUCCAUUCGAACUCCACGAAGAUGAAAACAGAAUUGAAGUCCAUUUUACUCUGCAGCCACCUCUUCUGAUUUUUAUCAGUUUCACCAUUUUAUUGGGGAUUUUAAGCUCCCAUUCUUCGUAUAAUUCGCAGCUGACUUGAAUUUGAGACACCCAAGAUCAGCAUCCAUAACUACAACAUUUUCUGAUGAGUUAGCAACGGAGGAAGAAGACAACAACAAGAAAAUUGAUAAACGUUUUAUGGAGAUGAAGAGGACGUCAUCUCUUCACCUGAAGUUGAGUACAGGCUUAUUAUAGGUUCCACAGGCUUCUGAAGUAGCAGCAAUGGAACCUUGCCUUGCGAGUGCUGGUACGCGGUGGAGCUCGAAGUAUAUUAGCAGCAAAUCUCGAGGGAUAUGUGGUGGCUGUUAAGCUCGGCGGUUUCCCGAUUGUCUUGGAUGCUUCUUGCAACCUAUUCUCCUGUGGACGGGGAAACUCCUCGAGCUUCUUUUUUCUAUUCCUUUCGCCAUGCACCUUGAAUAUAUAUGUGUACAGCAUGCUACCCAAGUUCUGCCUUGCUGCGAGUAAAACAUAAGAGCGUGUUCUGUCUUGCCUGCCCCGAAGCAGCUGGAAUUGAGAGGUAACCAAUUUAGGUCAUCGGCUGAAAAAGGAAAAAGCUUCAGCUUCAGUAAGGCAUUGAACAGUUCUUGUUGAGGUAGGAAGGUUAAAUGAGGGUGUGAGGAUCUAGGGUCCACGUCAGCAUACGUUGAAGAAGCAAGUUCUUCCACCAUUGGUGCUAAUAAUAGGUUCUAGCCUGGCGCGCAUAAUGAAGAUUGAAGAGCAUCUCAUCAACUGGGAGUCCCUAGCUAUACCCUGUGCUUGAGACGAUCAUAGAUUGGAUCUGGUAGUAUGCUGAGUCAUUUGAACUAUUAACUGAUAAGCACAAAAGCUAACACUAGCAUCCGCAUAGAAGGGCGAAGCUACCAAUGGUCUAUUCUGUGAAAGCCAUCUCAUAUUAGUUUAUCAACUCAAUUAAGACUUGAA